rnacentral:misc_RNA from 1 species
AUACUUCUUCUAUGUUUAUACAAUCCUCUAUAUAAGUGUUGGUCCAGUGUUGUUUAUUCCGGUAUAAGUGUAAUAAAAUAAUAUAAUAACAGAGAUAGAUUUACAUAUAAUUCUCUUUGAUUAACGUCAAAAUAAUGUCUGCUACAUAAUUUUUUUCGAAAUAGCUAGUGUCUCAUUGAUAUACAUUGAACAUUUCACGAAAUUUGUAAGUAUACAAAAAAUAAAAUUGCAAUGUGAUUGCAUUCAAUGAAGAUUGUUUACACAUUGAAAUCGCACAGUGAUCUUUCACUCUCAUCGAAUGCAACAUGUCUAAUACAAUAAGUGGCAAGAAUUUAUUACGGCCGAAUGGCUUACAGUGCAAAAAUCUGCAUGAAUAUUUAAAGUCACGCUCCCCCGAUACUUUGAAUAGACUGUAUCACAAACCGCCUAUAUGUUUGGCCGUGUUCCGCGAGUUACCUGUAAUCGCCAAGCAUUAUGUUAUGAGACUGCUCUUCGUCGAGCAGCCCGUUCCACAAGCGGUCAUAGCAUCAUGGUGUUCAAAACUCUACUUUGAGGAACAUCAAAAAGUAGUGCAAGUUUUGAAUGAGCUAUAUGUGUGGAAAGAAGCAUCUAUACCCGGUGGACUACCAGGCUGGACUUUGAACAGUACUUUCAAGAAAAAUUUAAAGAUUGUACUGUUGGGGGGUGGCAAACCAUGGACCAUGUCGAAUCAGCUGGAAACUGAUAGCAAACCACGAGAUGUGGUUUUCUUAGAUUCCUAUGCAUUAGAGAGAUGGGAAUGUGUUUUACAUUAUAUGGUUGGUUCCCAACAGCAGGAAGGUAUAUCUGCUGAUGCUGUAAGAAUUCUUUUACAUGCUGGUUUAAUGAAGAGAGAUGAAGCUGAUGGAAGUCCACUUAUAACACAAGCUGGUUUUCAGUUUUUGCUGUUAGAUACAGCUUCACAGGUAUGGUACUUUAUUCUGCAAUAUCUUGACACAAUUGAGGCACGUGGUCUUGACUUAGUAGAGUGCCUUACCUUUUUGUUUCAAUUAAAUUUUUCCACCCUGGGUAAAGAUUACAGUACUGAAGGCAUGUCCGAAGGACUUUUGACAUUUUUACAACAUUUAAGAGAAUUCGGACUCGUGUAUCAACGAAAACGCAAAGCAGGAAGGUUUUAUCCCACUCGAUUAGCACUAAACAUUGCGACUGGUGAAAAUAAACCUUUAACCAGAGAUGCAGACAAAGAAGGAUACAUAGUUGUGGAAACAAAUUAUCGAGUGUAUGCUUAUACAAAUUCCAAUUUACAAGUUGCGUUACUUGGACUUUUUUGCGAAAUGUUAUAUAGAUUCCCAAAUUUAGUUGUAUCAAUAUUAACAAGAGAUUCCGUAAGACAAGCAUUGAAAAGUGGAAUAACUGCUUCUCAAAUAGUUGGUUAUCUACAGCAACAUGCGCAUAGUAAGAUGAUAGAAGCAGGUCCGCCUAUAUUACCUCCUACUAUUGUAGAUCAAAUUAAACUGUGGGAAAAUGAAAGAAAUAGAUUUUUAUUCAGUGAAGGCGUUUUAUACAGCCAAUUUCUUUCACAAACUGAUUUCGAAGUUCUUAGAGAUCAUGCGCUUUCAACUGGGGUAUUAAUUUGGCAAAGUGAAAGGAAAAGAACUAUGGUGGUUACCAAAGCAGGUCAUGAUGAUGUAAAAAAAUUCUGGAAACGAUACUCAAAGGGUUCAAGUUAAUAUUUAACUUACAAACUUUGAUUAUAAGCAUUCUACCUACCGUUAUGUUUCUUAAAUAAUGGUACCGCAAAAAAUAUCAUUUAAAAAAAAGUGCCUAAAAACUGGAAAAUGAAGCAAUCUUGGAGUUGAUAUUGAAGAGUCUCUUAAUUAGUACCAAAGGUUCUCUCAGUUUUAGAUAUAAAUGCAGAACAAUAUUCGUUGUCAACUCUAUGUAUAGCGAUAUAUAUGGGAAAGAGGACAGAUUUUUAGUCGAAG